CUUCCCAGGCCCACCACUUUCAUCGAGUGAGCAUUCGUCUUCUGGUUACGGGGCCGACGCUGAAAUGGGAGAUCGCGUGCUUUGCAAGCAUGAGGUCGUCGGUUCGAUCCCGUCUGGCUCCACCAGAUGGUUUGAUCGCCGAGAUCUUGCACCGUCGUCCGCGAAACAUCACUUCGCAUCCUGCUAGUCUGGAUAGACAGCAAGAUGCGUGUUUUCUGACAUCGUAAAGAGGAGAUCGAUCCGAGUUGGGUCGUGCAGCAGAUUGUUGCGCGAAUCCUUCAUUAUCUCCGGAUCAUUUUCGGCGCUCGCUUUCAGCCGUGAGGUUGAAUGCGAGUUGUAAAAUGAUCCUUUUAGCGAAGCUUGACCGCCUCGCUAUCGGAACGAUCUUACGAAGCAAGCUGGUCUUUCUAGUCAAUGUCCGGCUGCAGAUAGCGUUCGUCGAGGGCGCGUGCCGCAAGGCAAUUCUGCAGACAACAUUCUGCCGAGUGUGUGGACAUUGAUAAUGAGAGCAAUCAAGUGCCUUAAGGGUGUUCGGUGGAUGCCUUGGCGCUGAGAGGCGAUGAAGGACGUGCUACGCUGCGAUAAGCCGUGGGGAGCUGCGAAGAAGCUUUGAUCCGCGGAUUUCCGAAUGGGGAAAA
rnacentral:misc_RNA from 1 species